AGGAGAUAUAAAAAUCCAUGUUUUGGGUAAGUCCUACAUUUUCAGUUUUGUUUCAGGUAUAAAAAAUGUUCAGCACACCAUUAUGUGCAAUAUAUUCAAAACGUAUCUAAAAUAUAUUUAAAACCUUAUGACUUUUACAUAAUGAUUUUCUAAAUCAAUUUAUUUAUACAUAGACACAGCUCAUAGUAGGUAUAUAAUAUAUACCUAUGACAAAUAAAUACCUA